rnacentral:rRNA from 1 species
AAUGAACGCUGGCGGCGUGCCUUUCACAUGCAAGUCGAACGGCAGCACGGGAGCAAUCCUGGUGGCGAGUGGCGAACGGGUGAGUAAUGUAUCGGAACGUGCCCAGUCGUGGGGGAUAACGUAGCGAAAGCUACGCUAAUACCGCAUACGAUCUAUGGAUGAAAGCGGGGGAUCGCAAGACCUCGCGCGAUUGGAGCGGCCGAUAUCAGAUUAGGUUGUUGGUGAGGUAAAAGCUCACCAAGCCUGCGAUCUGUAGCUGGUCUGAGAGGACGACCAGCCACACUGGAACUGAGACACGGUCCAGACUCCUACGGGAGGCAGCAGUGGGGAAUUUUGGACAAUGGACGCAAGUCUGAUCCAGCAAUGCCGCGUGCAGGACGAAGGCCUUCGGGUUGUAAACUGCUUUUGUACGGAACGAAACGGUGAGCUCUAAUACAGUUUGCUAAUGACGGUACCGUAAGAAUAAGCACCGGCUAACUACGAGCCAGCAGCCGCGGUAA